ACCGAAACUCCAUCUCAAACAAAACGAAACGAAACGAAACAAAACAAAACAAAACAAAAACAGCUUGAGGACCAGAUAGGGCAUCAAAAGCGGAGAAAGCUGGGGAACUCUGUGUCCUCUGAAUCCAGUUCAGAUGGAAAGGAAGCCCCAGAGGGAGGACAGGUGGGGGCAGCUGGAAAGACAAGACCAGGCUCCCCUUCUUGGGUGUGGAGGGAGACAGUGGUCGGGACCCCCAGAGAGGGCAGAGCACCGGGCUGGCCGGUGGGGUGGGGUUCCCCGCAGGAGGCCUGUGCCGCCGGCUGUGUGGCCUGCGGAGGAGCCUGCCGAGCCUGCCGAGCCCCGCAUCCGGUGGGAAGUAGGAGUCUGGCACUUCCGGCUCGGGCUGCUGCAGCGGUUCCGGGCAUCUGCGCUAUUAGAAUUCUCCCGGCUCGCGGCGGCCGCAGGAAUCCAGUCACGUGGUAGACGUGGUGCCUGGGAGCCGGGGUCAGCGAGCGCUCAGUCUGAGAGAAAACGUGUUCCUUCCCCCUGAGACGUGUCCCGUGCCGGGCGAUGGCUCGCGGCAAACCUCCGCUCCCACAGGGAAGGAGCCCUGUGAGGCCUGGCCUGGGAGCUCUCGGGAGCGUGGGUGGAGAUAGAGAUGAAUCUACAAAAUGGAAAAAGUGUUGAACUUGGGAGUCAAGAGACCAGGAUUCUAGUUCUGAUGAUGCCCUUCACAUACCGAAUGCCCUGGGGAAGCCGCUUCCCUUCUCUCAGCCUUGGGUUCUCCAUGUGUCAAAUUAGGCUGUGGAAAAAGCCUCGGAUGGAAUUGCACUCAAGGACAUGUCUGCGUCAAAGCUUUUCUCCAAGUUCGUCUUCAGUUGCUAUUUCUGAAGCCACAUCACACCCUGAGAAACUCCUCCCUUUUCCUCUACCCUGCUUCUCCCCCCGUCUGUCUCCUUCUUGUCACUUUUAGUUGGUUUUGCACGGGAACUCUGAGGCCAUCCCAGCUGCCCUUGUCUGCCCGUGAGAAUCCCCUUCCACAGCGCCUCAAGAGCAGGAUGGAAGUUCCAAGAGUAUGAAUUCAUUUCAUGACAUGUACCUUUUGCAACAUACCCCGUGUCCACUGGAGCAAGAAGGGGAGGCUCUCACCUCUUUGCUUUCUGUUAUGUCUUCCAUCGUCCAUAGGGCAGUGACCCUCAUGGCUUGGCCACAAGAAAAGCAGGCAUCUUCUCUAAACUAUGGAAGAAAUCAUGAGGUGGGGCCCCCAGUCUUUUGGUAUGGGAGAUGCCAAACAAACAGGAAAUAAAGACACAAUUGCACUCCUUUACUAUCUCCCGAAUAGCUCCAUUAUGUUUUACAUUUAUGUAUGAUUCCUAGUCUUUCUCCAGAUGAGUAUUGUUGUCUAGGAAGACAUAAAUGUUAGGCAGAUAAUAUAUAUUUUUAAUUUCUACUCUAUGAAAGUCACUAUACUGGGGAAGGGGAAAACAAAUGAUAAGACA
rnacentral:lncRNA from 1 species